ACUACGGGAGGCUGCAGUGGGGAAUAUUGCACAAUGGGGGAAACCCUGAUGCAGCGACGCCGCGUGAGUGAAGAAGUAAUUCGUUAUGUAAAGCUCUAUCAGCAGGGAAGAAAAUGACGGUAUCUGAGUAAGAUGACCCGGCUAACUACGCGCCAGCAGGCGCGGUAAUACGUAGGGGGCAAGCGUGAUCCGGGUUUACUGGGUGUAAAGGGAGCGUAGACGGCAGGGCAAGUCUGGAGUGAAAGGCGGGGGCUCAACCCCCGGACUGCACUGGAAACUGUACGUCUGGAGUGCAGGAGAGGUAAGUGGAAUUCCUAGUGUAGCGGUGAAAUGCGUAGAUAUUAGGAGGAACACCAGUGGCGAAGGCGGCCUGCUGGACUGUAACUGACGUUGAGGCGCGAAAGCGUGGGGAGCAAACAGGAUUAGAUACCCCAGUAGUC
rnacentral:rRNA from 1 species